GACAGAGGGUGCAAACGUUGUUCGGAAUUACUGGGCGUAAAGCGAGUGUUAGGCGGUUUGGUAAGUCGGAUGUGAAAGCCCCGGGCUCAACCCGGGAAGUGCACUCGAUACUGCCAAGCUAGAGUAUCGGAGAGGUUGGUGGAAUUCUCGGUGUAGAGGUGAAAUUCGUAGAUAUCGAGAGGAACACCGGUGGCGAAGGCGGCCAACUGGACCGACACUGACGCUGAGGCGCGAAAGCGUGGGGAGCAAACAGG
rnacentral:rRNA from 1 species